GGGCCUGUAGUUUAGCGGUAAAAUAAUGUCCUGCGAAGACAGAGUCACGGGUUCAAAUCCCGUCAGGUCCA
rnacentral:tRNA from 1 species